GCGGAAGUCGUUCAGUGGUAGAAUACAACCUUGCCAAGGUUGGGGUCGCGGGUUCGAAUCCCGUCUUCCGCUCCA
rnacentral:tRNA from 1 species